AAUCAACGCUGGCGGCGUGCCUAACACAUGCAAGUCGAGCGAGAAAGGGGGGCAACCCCCGAGUACAGCGGCAGACGGGUGAGUAACACGUGAACAAUCUACCCUCGAGUGGGGAACAACACCGCGAAAGCGGUGCUAAUACCGCAUAACAUCCCGGGUUCGCAUGGGGCCGGGAUCAAAAGCGCAAGUUGCUCGAGGAGGAGUUCGCGGCUGAUUAGCUAGUUGGUGAGGUAACGGCCCACCAAGGCGACGAUCAGUAGCCGGCCUGAGAGGGUGAACGGCCACACUGGAACUGAGACACGGUCCAGACUCCUACGGGAGGCAGCAGUGGGGAAUUUUGCGCAAUGGGCGAAAGCCUGACGCAGCAACGCCGCGUGGAGGAUGAAGGCCUUCGGGUCGUAAACUCCUGUCAGGGGGGACGAAACCGGGAAACCGGGUGACUGUACCCCCGGAGGAAGCCACGGCUAACUCCGUGCCAGCAGCCGCCGUAAUAC
rnacentral:rRNA from 1 species